CCUGAUGACAGGACAGGUCAUGAAAGAGCUGAGCCGAUGAUAUCAUGCAGCCUGCGCCGAGGUCGGGCAGGGUUCUGUGUGGACUUCGCGGUGAUGGAGAGGUGCCUGUCCGAAUCCAUGAUGUCCUGGACUGUAGCUGAAGCCACAAGACCUCUGGCCUGCGUGUCCUCUAGCAAACAGUCAGUGCCAGUUUUUCUAAUAGGACUAAAUGAGAUUCAGCCUCAAGCCCUAAACAUUCAGGGAUGCACACAUGAAAACUGAGAAGCCAAGAGGUGGCCUUUAUUUGCAACCUCAUUAUUCAGUCUGGUUCCAUAAAGGGACAUGAAAAUAUUCCUCACCUUAACAGUUUCCUCUCACAUGUUGAAUUUUGCCAUAUAAAAAAAUGCCUUUAAACAUUAGAGCCAAGCCCUCACAGAGCAAGCUGUCUGCUGGCUCAAAGAGUAGUGCGCACACUGAUGGCAGCACAUCUCAUUCACGCUUUUCUAGAUCCCCCAAACAGGGGAAAGGCAAACAGGCUGUAAGCUCAGCACCAGGCUCCCGCUCGGGGCUAGAGCCAGGCUCUGUGUCAGGAGGUGUGCCAGCACCAGCAUCUAAAGUGGCUGGAGGUCAAGGGUUGGUGUCGAGGCCAGGUUCGAAGAUCAAACCUGGCACAGGACCAAUCAAAGGAGUUAGUCAUGGUUCAGCAACAGCACCUGGGGGUAAAACCCUUUCCAUGGAGAACAUCCAGUCUUUGAGUGCUGCCUAUGCCACAACAGGCACCAUGUACCCCAGUGAGCGGGAUUCCUUGGAACCCUCUGGUGGGUACCCCAAAGGUACCAUGACGCUGGGCAGGAGCACCAGCCGCUCCUCCUACACUAACCGAACAACAGCCAUGGGCAGCAGCCCAAACAUCACUUCCUAUGGACUGCAUCACCAGCCAGACCCCUAUGGAGACCAAACCAUGCAUCCUGCGGGGACUUCCAGUCUGCGGCGUCAGUCUGGGAGACAGGCACCGGAUUCAGCUGGACGGGCAGAAGUAUCCACAUUCGAUCUCCAGGCUCAGCUGAGGGAUCUGCAGAGGGAGAACAACAGCUUAAGGAGAGAACUUGAUGGAGGGAGGGAUGGAAGGACAGGCCCCAGCACAAACAGUGUUAACUUCUGGAGCCCAGAUGUUAAAAGGGAAAAAGGGGUUAAGCGGGAGGAGGGAGCGAGGACCUCGGUUCUGAAGGAUCAGUACAGGUCUAACCAAGAGGAUUUGCAGCCUGGGGAUAUCAGAAGGAACAAGCAGCUUCCACUGACAGUUCAGGAGCUUCAGGAGGAGCUGAGGGCUCACAGGGAGAUGAACAGCCGCUUGCAGCAACAGAGACAGCAGGGGAACUUUGGCUCUUAUCGAGAUCUCCAUAUGGACCAGGACCACAGAGGGGGACUUAGCCCUAACCACAGCCCCAGGCAAAGCCCCAGCAACCUGCACAGUCCUGGACCAAAGAACAGCCCGAGAGCCAGCCCAUCUAACACAUACAAUCCGAGGCAGCAGGAAGCUGAUGUCAUCAUUCACAGCCCUAGUUAUGGCUGCAACACUGCUGUAGCUGCGCAGAGAAUCAGCCCGGCAAACACCCUUCAGCCUGGGCCCAGGAACAGCACAAAUCAGCCCCUCUACAGUUCCAACCAAGGUUCGGUAGCAGCGCCCAUCUCUUCACUCCGGGCCUGCAGCCCCUGCCAGGUGCCCGGUUGUGACGGCUUCUCCUCACCUCCUCCUCUGGAUCCAUCAGAGGAGAAUUUCUUCCGGCUGCAGUCGGAGCACGAGCGGCAGGCCAAAGAACUGUUGCUGCUGAGGAAGACCAUGGAGGAGAUGGAGAUGAGAAUCGACUCUCAGAAGCAGACGCUGGGUGCCCGGGACGAGAGCAUCCAGAGGCUGCUGGAGAUGCUGCAAGGGCAAGGCCAAGGUCAGACACACUGGGGUCGUGGACAGCGGACAGGCAUCAUAACCAUGGCGGCUCAGGAGGCUGAAGCGCAGCUGGAGAACAUGCAUGUGAGAGAGGAGCUCCAUCGCAGAAACCAGCUCCAGGCUGAUCCAGCCAAGACCAGGGCUCUGCAGACUGUCAUUGAUAUGAAGAACACCAACCCCCCUUUCUGUUUUGAUCCUGAUGUUAUCUGGCAGGACACCAAGAUCUCUUCCCUGGAGAGGAAUAUCAGAGACUUAGAGGAUGAGGUCCAGAUGUUAAAGACCAGCGGCCUGCUGCACCCUGACGACAGACAGGAUGAGCUCAAGCAGGUGGAGGUCUACAAGAGCCAUUCUAAAUUCAUGAAGACUAAGGACCAGGCCUUGUCCCCAUGUGUGUCUUCCGUCAGAACAGCUCCCACCUUCCUCCUCCCCACCCAGCAGCCCUGGAUCACAGAACAAGCAGAAAUAGAGCAGCUGAAGCAGGAGCUGAACAGGAAGGAGUCAGAGAUGCAGGCCCUGCAGACCAAACUAGAAACCCUGACCAAUCAGAACUCAGACUGCAAGCAACACAUUGAGGUGCUAAAGGAGUCGCUCAGUGCCAAGGAGCAACGCGCCAACACGCUGCAGACAGAGGUAGAUGCUCUGCGUGUGCGACUGGAAGAGAAGGAGCAGUUCCUGACCAAGAAGACCAAGCAGCUGCAGGACCUGACGGAUGAAAAGAGCACACUAACGGGAGAGAUCAGAGACAUGAAGGACAUGCUGGACGUCAAGGAGAGGAAGGUUAAUGUCUUGCAGAAGAAGAUUGAGAACCUGUCGGAGCAGUUAAAGGAUAAGGACAAACAGCUGGCUGGGUUGAGGGAAAGGGUCCAAGGCCUUCAGACUGACUCCAGUAAUACAGACACAGCCCUGGCCACACUGGAGGAAGCGCUAUCAGAAAAGGAGCGAGUGAUUGAGAAUCUUCGUGAGCAGAAGGAGCGGGAGGACAGGGUUCGGCUGGAGGAGUUGGAACAGCUGAGGAGGGAGAACCAAGAAUUAAAGGACAAACUCUCAGCCCUGCAGCCCCAGAAACUGUCCCAGAGUCAGCCUGGUAACCCCAGUCCGACCCAGAACCAGAGGCCUGAUGGAGAGGUGCCAACCAGAAUAGAUGGACUACCACCAGGAAGCCCCACAACCCAAAACACAGAAGAAGCAGCCCGAAAGUGUCCGGACAUCACAGAUCGCCUGAGGCUUCUGGAACAGGAAGUUGCCCACAACAGAGAGGAAUCUGUGAAGUCAAAGGCAGAGGUGGAGAGGCUAAUGGCAGCUCUGAGGGAUGCUGAGAUUGACAAAUCAUGCAAGGAGAAGAAAAUCGCUGAUCUUGAAAGUGUCUGCAGACCUGGGCAAAUCAAAUCUCCUAACAUCCAGAAGCAGACGGUGCCAGGUGAGCUGAGGAAAGAUGCCCUGACUGAUGGACAUCCGCACUCUUUAUCACAGCUUCCUCUUUCGGCUUCCCAGGAUGCCAUGCGGGAGACAGCGGAGAGGAUCAGUGAGUUGGAGAGGGCACUGAGAGAAAGCAUGAACACCUCUGCACACAGGGAGGCUCUCUGGGCACAAGAGGAGAGUGCCCGCGUUCAGGCCCAGAGACAGUUGGAGGAGCUGAUGGGAGCUUUGGAGAAGACACGGCAGGAGCUGGACGCUACCAAGCUGCAUCUGUCCUCCACUCAGCAGUCCCUACAUGAGAGAGACAGACAUCUUAAUGGUCUUCGCCAGGAGAGACGCAAACAGCUGGAGGAGAUCCUGGAGAUGAAGCAGCAGGCUUUGCUGGCAGCCAUCAGUGAGAAGGAUGCUAACAUCGCCCUGCUGGAAUUAUCUUCCUCCAAACGGAAGAAAGCCCAGGAGGAAGUGAUGGCUCUGAAGAGGGAGAAAGACAGGCUCAUGCACCAACUGAAACAGCAGACUCAGAGCAGAAUGAAGCUGAUAGCGGAUAACUACGAGGAAGAUCACAUCCACCCUCAACAUCACCCUCACCAUUCUCACCAUUUGCAUCCAGCAAAUGUGCAUCAACGAAGCCUGCCAAGAGGGCCCCCCCACACCAACCACCGACCACCAAUGGACCAGGAUGAUGAAGAAGGAAUAUGGGCGUGAUGAACAUCGCCAUGGUGACACUGCAUCAAUUUGUCCACAGAGUGAAAGGACACCAACCACAGGUCAGGUACCAAGAGGUUCAAGUGCUUCAAUUCCAAGCAUGCAAACUCAACUGGCUCAUACCUGCCCAAAAACAUGACGAAUCAGAUAUAGAUGUACCACAGAUAUAAUACCAAUACUCCAGGACCAACCACUGCACUGUGUGAUGUGGAUGAGCUCAGCGUUGAGCCAAUCAGAAAAUCUCCAUCAUACAGAUGAAUGUCACUGGCAAAUGCAAUGACCCACUGAAGACCUAAGCCCACUGUGGGUCAUUGUCCCUCAUCAGAGCAUCAGGAGCAUCAGUCAUCAGUGUGCAGCUUCAAGGUAUUGGCAAGCGGUCCACUGCCUUCAUUUCUCUAGCUGUUUUCAAUAGACUGGGAGCUGGAUUCAUUUUACAGUACUGCGGUGCUACAGAGCUCUGGCUUCACAUCAGCCGACAAUCAUUCCACCACUGUCGACUACUAGUGUGGCUAAGCUGAGCCAGUGGAACUAGCUGUAAACCCAUGCCAAUCCCAGACUGGUUUUUGAUGGCAUGAAUGUGUUUACUUACAGGAGCUAAAUAGUGAACUUUUGUAAAUGUCACAACAUGGGCCUCAAAAUCCUCAAUCCACAGAGACCUUCUCAAUGCACCGUGCCAAAGGAGACAACCCUGUCUGCUGAAACAAAUUACUGACGUGGGACUGCAUCUGAAUCAUUUGGACUAACCACUAAACUGCCCUGGUUACUCAUUUGUUUGACUGUCUCCCACGUCCUGCGGAGAGAUCAGUGAGAAAAGGCGAACUCGGGCUUAAUGAUGCCCCGCAAAAGAAAAAAAAGUUUUGAGGAUCAGCUUACCCCUUCUCUGAAAAUCAGGACCUUUAUUAAGAGAGAAGGAAACACUGCUGACCUCAAAUCAGUCAGCUUACUGUACAGAUACUCUGUUUAUACAUUUCUCCUUGUGUUCUUUUAACCUGCUGUGCGUUUGUUUAAUGAACCAAUAUCAUGUUCUGUUUGCUUUUCUACAUCCAAAACAGCUCUGAGUGCCACUCUUCUUCUUCUUCUUCUUCUUCUUCUUCUUUUUUAAGUUUUAACAACUGUGCGUGACUUAUGCUGAUGAGUGAUGUAUUAUUUUGUUUGUCUAUUUAUUAAUCCUGUGAAUUUGAGUUGGUAAUUUGUUUAUACUGAAGUGACUUGCAUUUUAAAUCACUGUGUCAUUAUUUUAUUUUUUCAUUGUACCAGAGGUUGACCUGAGGUGAUGAUAAUGUACAAUAUUGUGUUUUGAUUAAACAGUGUAACAGUGUCUCCAUCUGGCCCUUACCUAAUAUGCACAGAUUUUGUACAGUGUGUGUGUGUGUGUGUCUGUGCAUGUGUGUGUGCAUGUCUAAGUGUGUGUGUGUGUGUGUGCAUGUCUAAGUGUGUGGUUCGACUGUGAAAGUCUGGGGGUAACAUUAUUCGCCCUUUCACGGUGUUUUGCAGCCAUGAGCUUGUUUCUGUUGUUUGAAUAAACGUUGUUUUAAAAAGAACUGCAACAUGUGUUUUAUCAGAAAGGCAAUAAUGUGAACAUUGAAAUCGGCAGUGCUAUUGUUAAAUUGCAACAAUGGCUUUUUUUUUUUUUGUCACAAGAUUAAAGUUUCCCCGACACUUGGGGCAUCUACAACAAUAGACUCUUGCACUGCCCAAGAAAGAAUUCUCCCCAGUUUUCAUGGUCUACCAAUUCUCUCUCUCAUAAACUCAGCCAGAUGUUGCCCAGUUUAGUUUUUU